UACGUAGGGUGCGAGCGUUAAUCGGAAUUACUGGGCGUAAAGCGUGCGCAGGCGGUUCGUUGUGUCGGCGGUGAAAGCCCCGGGCUCAACCUGGGAAUGGCCGUUGAAACUGGCGAACUGGAGUGUGGCAGAGGGGGGUGGAAUUCCGCGUGUAGCAGUGAAUGCGUAGAGAUGCGGAGGAACACCGAUGGCGAACGGCAGCCCCCCUGGGCUAACACUGACGCUCAGGCACGGAAAGCGUGGGGAGCAAACAGG
rnacentral:rRNA from 1 species